rnacentral:rRNA from 1 species
CCUACGGGAGGCAGCAGUGAGGAAUAUUGGUCAAUGGACGAGAGUCUGAACCAGCCAAGUAGCGUGAAGGAUGACUGCCCUAUGGGUUGUAAACUUCUUUUAUAUGGGAAUAAAAUGUUCCACGUGUGGGAUUUUGUAUGUACCAUAUGAAUAAGGAUCGACUAACUCCGUGCCAGCAGCCGCGGUAAUACGGAGGAUCCGAGCGUUAUCCGGAUUUAUUGGGUUUAAAGGGAGCGUAGGUGGAUUGUUAAGUCAGUUGUGAAAGUUUGCGGCUCAACCGUAAAAUUGCAGUUGAGACUGGCAGUCUUGAGUACAGUAGAGGUGGGCGGAAUUCGUGGUGUAGCGGUGAAAUGCUUAGAUAUCACGAAGAACUCCGAUUGCGAAGGCAGUUCACUGGACUGCAACUGACACUGAGGCUCGAAAGUGUGGGUAUCAAACAGGAUUAGAUACCCUUGUAGUC